rnacentral:SRP_RNA from 1 species
GCUGGGCAUGGUGGCGCAUGCCUGUAAUCCCAGCUACUCAGGAGGCUGAGGCAGGAGAAUCUCUUGAACCCGGGAGACAGAGGUUGCAGUGAGCCCAGAUCCCACCACUGCACUCCAGCCUGGGUGACGGAGUGAGACUCUGUCUCAA